rnacentral:rRNA from 1 species
AGAACGAACGCUGGCGGCAUGCCUAACACAUGCAAGUCGAACGAGACCUUCGGGUCUAGUGGCGCACGGGUGCGUAACGCGUGGGAAUCUGCCCUUAGGUUCGGAAUAACAGUUAGAAAUGACUGCUAAUACCGGAUAAUGUCUUCGGACCAAAGAUUUAUUGCCUAAGGAUGAGCCCGCGUAAGAUUAGCUUU